GAGUAGAUAUGGAACUAAUUUUUUUUUGCUCUUACAACACUGUUUAAUAUGUCAGUUGUUAGUAUCUAUGUUGUCAACAGUGUUAGUUUAUUUUCGUAUUUAUUGUAUUGUUUAAAUUUAUCGUCAGUAAACUGUUGUUAUUGUGGCAAAUGAUGAACAGGACGAUCCGAAGUGGCACCCGCCAGGUUAUUUAUAACGUUUACAGGCGGUGUCUGGCAGAAUUUGAAGCCAAAACCUUGUUGUCGGAACUGGACAAUGUUUACCAAAGAACGGCUGAGAUGACAGGUAAACUACUGUAAGGAGAAUUGUAUUAGAAGAUGACCUUAACAAUGCUGUGUUUGCAACGCCUGGAAAACGCCGGAAGGGGCGUCCAAAAAAGGAACUGGACAAUUUCGACCUGUGUGCCAUUAGGCAAAAGGUUCAAUUUUUUUACACGGUGAAAAAACAGGUGCCAACUCUAAGAAGUCUGCUUCCGAUAGUGAAAGAAGACCUGGGCUUUGAUGGUAGCCGGGAACACCUGAGAAUAGUACUUCAUGCUCUUCGGUUCAAUCUUGCUGCAUCACUAUAACGCCUCUUCACAUACGUCCCUCAGAACAAAGGCGUUUAUUGAGAAAGCUGGGAUAGAAACCUUACCACAUCCACCCUACAGUCCUGACUUAGCUCCCUGCGAUUUCUUUUUGUAUCCGGUGGUGAAAGAAAAAAUAACAGGGAAGUUUUUUCAAGUGCUGAGGAAGCCGUGGCUGCAUAUAAAGAAGCAAUUUCGGACCUAUCUGAUGAAGACUGGCAAAAGUGCUUCCAAAGUUGGUUCAGACGAAUGGAACUUUGUAUAGAGAGUAAUGGAGAGUAUUUUGAAAAAAUGUAAAAUAAAUAAUACUAAUAUCUUCAAUAGCUUUUUUUAUGUCAAAAUUUAUUGAGUGACUUACGUAAAUGAUCAUAUUAGAUUGAUAACUGUUAGAUAUAAUUUGUGGUUACUUAUUUUUAAAAUGUGUUUUUCAAUUAAAAGACGCAUCAAUAUUGUUUACCUUAUUUCUAAUGCUAACAAAAACGAACAUUACAAAAACUCAAAAUUUGUAUUUCCAGUACCUACCUGCUGAUGAGAGUGGAGUCCACUUUCUUGACUUACCUAUAUUAUCCAAAAUCGGUUCCGACGUUGUCAAAUAUGGGGUGUGUGCAAAUUUGGCAUUCGAAUAAC